rnacentral:lncRNA from 1 species
AUGAUUCUGAAUGGACUUUUCUUGGAUCGCUUGGAGGAAAUUCUUUUUAAACAGGAUGUGCCUCUUCCUCAGGGUGACAGGUUAUACACAGAGAUUUUUCAUCAAAAUGAAAACUGCUUCAUUUGCUGCCAACCAUAUGUAAAGCAAGAAGAAAAGUCUGGCCUUAGUGACUCCUGGGAGACUGAUCAAUACAAGUCCCUAGAUCCUACACAGCAAGAAGAUAGAUCCUGGUACCCGAUACUCAAGUUUAUCACAAAAUACUGCCUGAAUUACAAUGAGCUGGUAUACAACAAGGCUAUUUUUCACUACGAAUUAGACAAAGAUCUCACUUUACAGAGUGGCCCAGCCAUCUAAGAGUAAAAAACUUUUCAGAAACAAGGCACUGAGAUGUUUCACUCGCUUCGCUGGGAGCAGGAACUGCCCUGCACCUCAAAAAAAAAAGUAGGGAUGGAUUUGAACCGGAGAUAACAAGUGAUUUAAGUCAAUUCUGUUUGUUUCACACUUACAGCUCUAUCCUCUUAUGAUCUGUACCUAAGAUAAACUGUUCUUCUGUGGGCACGGUACUUAUCUUAAAAGCAUUGCUCAAAACAAGUAAAGGUCAAGUUAAGAGACAACAAAACAUAUCAACUGAUCACAUUAGCAUUUUUAAAAGUCAAAGAGAUGGACAUCUGUGGAGUUAUUUUGGGAGAAACAUCACAUCUGAGGUUAACAGCUAAACACCAGCCUUCGGCCUAACUAUGUUCUCAAUUGUUCAUCGCAUUCUCUGCAGCAGCAAUCACAAUUUAGGAAAAAUAAAAUAAAAGAUCAAAAUACUUAAAGCUUUAGU